rnacentral:rRNA from 1 species
AUGAAAUUAGGAACGAUCACGGGAAUGGAAUCACAACAUCGAGGUGCAUCUUUUUGUGUAGAGCUUAUCUUGAAUCAUAACAUUGUUGUGUAUAUUAGAAGGGAUCAUGUGAAGAAGAUUAAGAAAUAUGAGAAGAACAUAUCGCGUGCAAAGUUGCAUACCAGGCUGCGGCAGGAGAGCCACUGCGAGCGCUCCCUUGCUCUUGCUUGGGUCUGGUUCACUGGAAACGGUCGGUGCGACCAUUUCUCCGGAGCCAGGACCGGGGGAGGGAGGGGUUGCUUUAAGCUUCAUGCCAUGCAAGCUCACCUGGUCUCGUGGGCAAACCGACCUGUUAUGCCUCCCCCCCCUCACACACACACCUUGUUAUGGUAG